AUACGAAGGGUGCAAGCGUUAAUCGGAAUUACUGGGCGUAAAGCGCGCGUAGGUGGUUCAGUAAGUUGGAAGUGAAAUCCCCGGGCUCAACCUGGGAACUGCUUUCAAAACUGCUGAGCUAGAGUACGGUAGAGGGUGGUGGAAUUUCCUGUGUAGCGGUGAAAUGCGUAGAUAUAGGAAGGAACACCAGUGGCGAAGGCGACCACCUGGACUGAUACUGACACUGAGGUGCGAAAGCGUGGGGAGCAAACAGGAUUAGAAACCCGGGUAGUCC
rnacentral:rRNA from 1 species